rnacentral:lncRNA from 1 species
AACUGACCAGCUCAAUUAAACCACCGUCUCUCUAACGGGCUGGGGAUUGACCGCUGACCUGCCGUGACUACCCAGCUGGAGACAGCAGACCGGCUACCUGCUGUGUUAAUCGCUGUGCUGUGCCGGCUAGGCAAUCUCGUGACUGUUCCUGUCAUCUGUGAUACACGCCCUCUGAUGAAAUGGUUUGGUUUACAACUGAAUGAGACAUUUCUCUAGGACAGGAACACAAGAUACGGACUCAGAACAGCAUCUGAGCACAGAAGCUGACCUCUGGGAGCAUCAGAGCCCGCUUUCUCCUUCCCUCCCGUCUCCUCUCGCCCAUAGCCCCCGAGGGAAAUUCCCAGAAUGUUUUCCUUUGGAUUACAGCAAGGAGGCUGCUUGACCUGUGACUGGAUUUUGGUGGUUUCAUAAACCUACGGGUGGAUUUUUAUAUUCACGAAGGGAAUGUGUAGAAGAAUGGCUGUAAGGUGCACAAGACUGGAGCUCACACUUUCCUUCAAGCACCACGGGGUUAGCACACGGUCACUGUUUAGGGUCCCAGAUCAAAGGCCCCUCACCCUGGGGGUGCAAGGCCUGCAGUGGACUGUCACAGGGCCACAGCACCCACUGCCUCUGGGGCGACGCCAGUGUCUCCCUGGAAAACUGUCCCUUCCAGGUGCUGGGCAGUCUGCGUGGGGCAUUCCCCCAAGAUUGACACUUGGUACAAAAUUCCUGUCGGUAAAUCCUUGGGGCCCAACUUUUCUGAGUUGAUGAUGAGGAUGGAGACCAUGUCAGUCAGAGAUUCUGACUUUGUCUCAAAUAGCAGGGUUUUUCAUUAUUGCUCGUGUUCCGAAAUCUGGAGGAGGGCGUUAUCAAGAGAGAGGCGGUUUCCCAGGCACCUUCAGCUCAAAGUGAUCAACAUGCCAACAUGGUGCAUCCUGCGGAAGAAACCACCGCGCUGAUUUCCCAGCUCUGUGAUUCUCACAGUGGAAUAAGACGUUGGCAGGAAUAGCGCCUGGGGGGUUGUUUGAAGGAAACGUCAGG